AGGGACAUGGUGUCAAUGGUAGCAUACAGACCUCCAAAGUCUUGUGGUGUCUGUUCGAAUCAGACUGUUCCUG
rnacentral:tRNA from 1 species